GACGAACGCUGGCGGCGUGCUUAACACAUGCAAGUCGAACGCUGAAGCUUGGUGCUUGCACUGGGUGGAUGAGUGGCGCACGGGUGAGUAAUACGUGAGUAACCUGCCCUUGACUCUGGGAUAAGCCUGGGAAACUGGGUCCAAUACUGGAUACGACAUGUCACCGCAUGGUGGUGUGUGGAAAGGGUUUUACUGGUUUUGGAUGGGCUCACGGCCUAUCAGCUUGUUGGUGGGGUAAUGGCUCACCAAGGCGACGACGGGUAGCCGGCCUGAGAGGGUGACCGGCCACACUGGGACUGAGACACGGCCCAGACUCCUACGGGAGGCAGCAGUGGGGAAUAUUGCACAAUGGGCGGAAGCCUGAUGCAGCGACGCCGCGUGAGGGAUGACGGCCUUCGGGUUGUAAACCUCUUUCAGCACGGAAGAAGCGAAAGUGACGGUACGUGCAGAAGAAGCGCCGGCUAACUACGUG
rnacentral:rRNA from 1 species